rnacentral:rRNA from 1 species
CAGCCGCCACGGGAAUACGUAGGGUGCGAGCGUUAAUCAGAAUUACUGGGCGUAAAGCGUGCGCAGGCGGUGAUGUAAGACAGAUGUGAAAUCCCCGGGCUCAACCUGGGAACUGCAUUAGUGACUGCAUCGCUGGAGUGCGGCAGAGGGGGGCGGAAUUCCGCGUGUAGCAGUGAAAUGCGUAGAUAUGCGGAGGAACACCGAUGGCGAAGGCAAUCCCCCGGGCCUGCACUGACGCUCAUGCACGAAAGCGUGGGGAGCAAACAGGAUUAGAUACCCCAGUAGUCCCUGUCUCUUAUAC